UCCAGCAAAUAUCAUCCCUUCUUGACUUUGAUAUUUUUAGACCUUGAUAUAGAAUGCUUGCUGAGUAUACUCUAUUGAUCCAGGCUAAUCGUCUUAGAGCAUUCCAGGUAUGUUUUACUGCCAUAAUGAUAAGGCCUCUUGAUUCAUCCUAUCUUUUUGAAAUCCUGAAGGAUGAACUUGAAAUUGGCAAUCCAAAAUUACUAGAAUUUGUUAAUCCAAUAUUUGACAUAAGAUAGAUGAGAAUCAUAAUGUCUGACCGAAGACUUUAAACUUAACGCUUUCUGAAAAGCAAUCCAGCUCAUACUUUUUAAUUUAUGCCUUUUGCAUU
rnacentral:lncRNA from 1 species